rnacentral:rRNA from 1 species
UCGGAUGUGAAAUCCCCGGGCUCAACCUGGGAACUGCAUUCGAAACUGGCAGGCUUGAGUCUUGUAGAGGGGGGUAGAAUUCCAGGUGUAGCGGUGAAAUGCGUAGAGAUCUGGAGGAAUACCGGUGGCGAAGGCGGCCCCCUGGACAAAGACUGACGCUCAGGUGCGAAAGCGUGGGGAGCAAACAGGAUUAGAUACCCUGGUAGUCCACGCCGUAAACGAUGUCUACUUGGAGGUUGUGCCCUUGAGGCGUGGCUUCCGGAGCUAACGCGUUAAGUAGACCGCCUGGGGAGUACGGCCGCAAGGUUAAAACUCAAAUGAAUUGACGGGGGCCCGCACAAGCGGUGGAGCAUGUGGUUUAAUUCGAUGCAACGCGAAGAACCUUACCUGGUCUUGACAUCCACAGAACUUUCCAGAGAUGGAUUGGUGCCUUCGGGAACUGUGAGACAGGUGCUGCAUGGCUGUCGUCAGCUCGUGUUGU